UACGAAGGGUGCAAGCGUUACUCGGAAUUAUUGGGCGUAAAGCGCGCGUAGGCGGUUACUUAAGUCGGAUGUGAAAGCCCUCGGCUUAACUGAGGAAGUGCAUCCGAAACUGAGUAGCUAGAGUACGAAAGAGGGUCGCGGAAUUCCCGGUGUAGAGGUGAAAUUCGUAGAUAUCGGGAGGAACACCGGUGGCGAAGGCGGCGACCUGGGUCGAGACUGACGCUGAUGCGCGAAAGCGUGGGGAGCAAACAGG
rnacentral:rRNA from 1 species